AUUGAACGCUGGCGGCAAGCCUAACACAUGCAAGUCGAACGGUAACAGGAAGAAGCUUGCUUCUUUGCUGACGAGUGGCGGACGGGUGAGUAAUGUCUGGGAAACUGCCUGAUGGAGGGGGAUAACUACUGGAAACGGUAGCUAAUACCGCAUAACGUCGCAAGACCAAAGAGGGGGACCUUCGGGCCUCUUGCCAUCGGAUGUGCCCAGAUGGGAUUAGCUAGUAGGUGGGGUAACGGCUCACCUAGGCGACGAUCCCUAGCUGGUCUGAGAGGAUGACCAGCCACACUGGAACUGAGACACGGUCCAGACUCCUACGGGAGGCAGCAGUGGGGAAUAUUGCACAAAGGGCGCAAGCCUGAUGCAGCCAUGCCGCGUGUAUGAAGAAGGCCUUCGGGUUGUAAAGUACUUUCAGCGGGGAGGAAGGGAGUAAAGUUAAUACCUUUGCUCAUUGACGUUACCCGCAGAAGAAGCACCGGCUAACUCCGUG
rnacentral:rRNA from 1 species